CACUGCUUUGCAGGGCCGGCUAUCACUCUGGUGCCAUUUAUUUUAUUCGGGGCAUUUCAUCGGCGGCGUUUCCCUCUUCUCUUUCUUUGUUCCUUUAAUUUUCCUCCCAUCCCGCGGGGCGCCCGGCCCCGCAGACAGCCCCCGGAGCACAUGUGCGUGUCACAGGCAGCCUGCUCUCCCGGCGGAGGGGGAGGGCGCCUUUCGCAUGGAGCCGCUCUGUAGCUGAGGGCAGCGCCGCGCCGGGCCGGGUCCUGUGAUGCAGCACUCGUGUGCGGGCAGGCCCCCCUGCUAGGCGCUGCCUGCUCUCGGCGCACGGGGCGGCGGAGGCGCGGGGCUUGGCCCCGCUCCAUGGAGACCAAUGGCAUCGCUCCCACCCACCCCCACCGGCCCCGAGCCCGCCGGCACGCACAGCUACACGCUGCAGCCCACCAUGGCCCCGCCGCCGCCGCCGCCGCUCCGGCCCUCGGCGAGUGGAAAGGUAGAAGGCCAGCCCAAUGGUGACACAAUCCCAGCUGAGCAAGCCAACCCUUCAGAUGACACUGUUGCUGGUGCUGGGAGUCGUCAGAAUGAUCAGAUAGUGCAGAAAAUAGAGGAAGUGCUCUCUGGAGCCCUUGAUACAGAGCUGCAGUGCAAAUCAGAUGUAGACAAAAAUACUGUGAAAAAUAGUUCUCAGCCUACAAAAAGAAGCUCUACUGGUGAAGAUGAAAUUCCUAGGAAAAAAUCGAAGAAGAACAAGAAGCACAAAAGCAAGAAGAAGAAGAAAAAGAAGAAGAAAAGAAAGAAAGAGAAAAAGCAUAAAAAGCAGCCAAAGGAGGCAAAGCUGAGUGCACGUCAUGGAGACCGUGGGGACUCACAGCCUGCUUCUCACUUAAUACCAGAGAAAUCAAGCUCCAAAUUGAGUGUACAGCCUGGAGGAUUUGAAGGUGCAAAUCUGGCUGUCCAUAUGCAGCCAGAACUGUGCUUACAAACAAGUGAGGAACUUGAUAGACAAGCUUUAGGGCUUGUUUCUCAUUCAGGAACUGAUUCUCAGCAAUCUACGGAAAAUCUUGGAAGUGAGAAGGGGACUUUGUGUGCAACAAAUCCGCCAUUUGCUUUAGAAGGCAGUCAGUCUGAUAUCCAAGGAGAUGCUAGUAUAGCUCAAACUAUAGCUCAAACUAGAAUUUGCACUAGAGAAGAACAAACUAAACAGUCUCAUGACAAUAUUUAUCCUGUAGCUAUUAAUGUGAGUGAAAAGGGUGUUAUUGUUGAUACUGGAAGUGAUACUUCAUCUAGCAUCCCGUCUGAAGUUGCCAAUAAGUCUGAAAUUCAGAAAGAAUCAUCAGCAGCUCUAGCUUCAGAGGUAAUUGAGGCACUAAAAGGUUCAGAAGUUAUUCUGAAAUCUAAAGGCACUGGGGAAGUAAAAGCUUUGGAUGCAGCUGUUGAGCCUCAGUCCAUGGAGGUGUUGACAUAUUCAGAAACAUUUCUACCGUCUGUGGCACAGGGGGGAGCAAAAGAGAUGGAAGCAACUUCAGAAUCUGUGUAUUCGGCAAGUGAUGUGACAGCUAUUCCUAAAUUUGCAAAUCAGGCAGAUCUGAAUACUGUGAAGGUAGCUCACAUGUCUGUGGCCAUGGAAGAAGUUAGAAUUCCGGAAACAACUGAAAAAUCUCUGCAUAUGGGAAAUGUGGAAAGAUCUUUGGAAUUGGGGGAUAUGAGCAGAAGUUUGGAGCCAGCCCUGAAACCCUCAGUUGCAUCUGAUAGCUUGAGAGUGCUGCAGUGCAGUCCCGUCGAGGGUUCAAGUGUCUUGAAGGCAGAUAUGUCUUUGCAACACCCUUAUAAAGUAUUUGCAGCAACUGCUGUGACCCAGAUGGAAAUAAAAAGUGCCAAAAUACCCCAGGGACCAGGAGCUGUUACAGAAGUGAAGGAUAUUGAACCAGCUAGAAGCUCUGCACAUAUGGAAAAUGUGAAAACUUUGGAAGAAGCUUUGCAGCCAGUUGCUGUAGGAAAGCCCAGAAGUUUGGAAACAGUCCUGGGACCUGUGGGUGUUGCAGCAAAAGAUGUCACAGCAGCUCGAGAACAUCUGCAAGCUGAAGUAAAAGGUGUGGAAGGUACCACUGAUCCUGCAACAGUGCUGAAUGCAUCAGGAGUGUUCCUACAGCCUAAAGUCUUGACAGAAACAAGAAGUGUGGAUAGAACCCAGGAAUCUACACUUCCAGCAGAAUUGACACAUGUGAAUGUGGUUGCAGAGGUAAAGGGUUUAAGAGCAACUUCAGAACCUGUUGUCCAGACCUUUGUUCCCCAAACAGUUCCAGAAAUCCAGAUGGUGGAGGGUUUUAAAGGUCCACAAGCAACUACAGAAGUUGCAGCACUAGCAGGAGUAAAAAUUCAAGAAACAAGUCAAGCUACUCUGCAGCUGGAAAAUACGAAUGCCUCAAAAAUUUCAGAAUCUACUUUCAAGCCCAUAGCUGUAACAGCAAAAGAUUCAGAAGGUGCUUUAUUACUGAGACGACAAGAAGAGCUGAGAGAGUUAAGAUCUGAAGGUGAAUCAAGUGUGAGAGGUCCCCUGUCUUUGCAGAAAGAAAGUGCGAGUGGCCUAGGAGAAGUCCUAAGACCAGUGACUGUGGUGGAAGCAGAAACUUUGAAAACAAUUUCACCAUCUUUUCAAAUGGAAGGUAUAAAAGCUUCCGAAGCUGUGCAUUGUGGGACUGUGGCCAGAGGUUUAGCAGCAGCAAUGGGUUCAACAGUGGUGUCAAAAGGUUCGGAGAUAAAUCUAGAGUGUAUGGCAGGAGUAGAAGCAGGCUCAGAUGCCAGUCUAGCUAUGAAAGUGGAAGCAAGUCCAGGACUUCCUGCCUUAGAAGAAACAUCAGAAAGACCUCCUGAAUCUAUGGUUGCACCUGUAAGCGUGGAAGUGGUUAGAGAGUCUGAGGCAUUAGCAGGAAUGAUGCAUUUGAAAACCACAGCAGAGAGAGAACCAAAACAUACAGAAGCAGUUGCAGAACCUCCUGAUGCAAACAAAACAGAGAGUUACAUUUCACAGUCUCAGGUAAUGGCACAUACAAGAACGCCACAACCUGACUUGGUAGGGGAGAUAAAGGAUUCUGAGCUAGCUACCAGUUCUGCCAUUGUAGAAGUGAGGGAUUUAGACAACUUGAAAGUUGAGGCAGUUGCAGAGGUAAAAGAUGCGGAAGCGAGAUCAAAAACUUCACACUUAACACAGAUGAAAAAUUUGGAAAUGGUAGCGGGAUCUGAAACAAGGACACUAAUGGAAGGCUUGGGAAGGACAUUGGCAUCUGAGGUGGUUAGGGAAAUGAGGUAUCCUGAAGUUGCUCCAGAAGAUUCAAACAAAGCAAAGGCAAGGAGCGAAGAAGCAAUAUUAGAACCUCUGCAAACAGUGAUGGUGCAGACUUUAGAAACAAGUUCAAAAUCUAUACAGGAUCAAAUAGUAGGUCAUUCAGAAGCAGUAUUAGAGUCUUUGCCCAGAGUGGAAGAAAAAACUAUGGCAUCAGAAAUGGUGACAGAAAUAAGCGACUUGAGAGGAACUUUGGAAUCUAAGAUUUCAACAGAUGUGAGAACUCAGGGACCUACUGUAGAGUAUAUAAUUGCAACAAGGAAGACAAGUGCACAAAAAAAUGAGCCCUUGCUUAGUGAUGUCAAAUAUUUGGAAGAAGCUUCAGAAAUGGAGGAAGCAGUGAAAGCAAAAUAUUUGGAGCCAGCAUCAGAAGCUGGAGAAGUGAGGUUGGAAAGUAUGAAAGAGUCUGCAACAGUAGAGGUGAAAGGUUCUGAAACAGUUGAAGAGCCUGAGAUACACAUGGAUAUCCAAGGAAAUCUGGGGGUGAUGAAUGUUUUAGAGCAUGUGUCAGAAGCUGUUCCAGAAUCUUUGCAUACUGAAAAGCAGGAAAAUCUGCAAACCGUUCCAGAAGCAAUGGCUGCUGCAGAAUGGAAGAGUACAGAAGAGGCUCCAGAAAUCCUGACUGCUGCUGAAGCAGGUCCAAAACUAGGGGACAUGAAAGAUCUGGAAACAACGCUGGCACAUGAAGUGGCAGCAGAAGUACGAUAUGCAGAAGGAGUGCAGUGUCAACAGAUGGAAGAUGUGAGAGUUCCAGGUCAAGCUCAGGAACGCGAGAUACUAGUUGAGGAGAAAGAUGCAGAGCAAAAUCAAGCAUCUGAGCCUUUUACAGCAGAAACAGCUUUUAGCUCUUCACAUGCAGCAGAUGAAAAAGGGACUCCUGAAUCUGAAAUAAUCAGAGACGCAAAACAGUUGGAAGCAGCUCCAGCUGUUGUGGCAGAACCAAAAGGUUUGGAAACAAUUUCUCUUCCUGAGACUGUUGUAGAGCUGAAAGAUGCAGAAGCAGCUGUGGAGUUGGAGGCAGAGUCAAAAGGUUUGGAAGCAGCUUCAGUACCUGAGACUGUUGCAGAAGCAGAGCCGGUACCUGUGGCAGAGGCAAGCCAGUUGGAAGUCAUUCCACAGGCUGAGGAUGUCAAAGAAGCAACUCCAGAACAGGAUUCAGAGAAAAGAGAUUCAGAAACAUCCGAUGUACAACCUGAUGUGGCAGCACGAAUGAGGGAGACUCUGAUGAGACUCGAGAAAGUUGUUGAAAAAAGUAGCCAUAGAAGCAGUGAUAAAAAACAUGAUGCAAAGAAACAAAAAAGGAGUCGCUCCAAAUCUCAAUCCAGGUCUAGGAAACGGAAGAAAAAAUCAAGGUCACGUUCUACUUCUAGGCGUUUGACCUCUAAAAGAGCACGUUCUAGGAGCAGAAACUAUUCAGAUUCCAGAAAAAAGCAUUCCAAAUCUAGAUCCCGAUCCGUGGAGAAGAGAGAGAGAAGAGUGUCUUCCCGGAGGUCUAGGCGCAGACGUUCCAGGUCAUCUGACCACUACAGGUCUAAAUCGAGAUCGGCAGAGAAGAGAGGGAGCAGAUUGUCCAGACGCAGACGUUCCAGGUCAUCUGACCACUACAGGUCUAAAUCCAGAUCAGUGGAAAAGCGACUGUCUUCCCGAAGGUCCAGACGCAGACGUUCCAGGUCAUCUGACCGCUACAGAUCUAAGUCCAGGUCAGUGGAAAAGCGACUGUCCUCGCGAAGAUCUGGGCGCAGACGUUCCAGGUCGUCUGACCGCUACAGGUCUAAGUCCAGAUCAGUGGAAAAGCGACUGUCUUCCCGAAGAUCUGGGCGCAGACGUUCCAGGUCGUCUGACCGCUAUAGGUCUAAGUCCAGGUCAGUGGAAAAGCGACUGUCCUCCCGAAGAUCUGGGCGCAGACGUUCCAGGUCAUCUGACCGUUACAGGUCUAAGUCCAGGUCAGUGGAAAAGAGACUGUCUUCCCGAAGGUCUGGGCGCAGACGUUCCAGGUCUUCUGACCGCUACAGGUCUAAGUCACGGUCAGUGGAAAAGAGGGGGAGCAGGUUGUCCUCCUGGAGAUCCCGCCGCAGACGUUCCAGGUCUUCUGACCGUUCUAAAUCUAGAUCCAGGUCGUCAGAAAAAAGAGGGGGCAAAGAAUACUCAUGGAGAUUCAGACACAGAGGGUCUGGUUCCUCUGAUCGUUCAAAAUCUAGGUCAAGAUCUGUUGAGAAGAGAGGUCGGAAGGCAUCUCUACGGAGAUCUAAACGUCAGCGCUCAAAGUCCUCUGACCGUUACAAGUCUCGAUCCAGAUCAGUAGAAAAAAGAGAUCGAAAGCAGUCAUCGCGGAAGUCUAAACGCCAGCGCUCAAAGUCCUCUGACCGUUACAAAUCUAGAUCUAAAUCAGUGGAAAAAAAGAAAGAGUCUUCACGAAAAUCUAAGCGUCGCCGCUCAAAAUCGUCUGAACGUUAUAAGUCUCGGUCUAGGUCUGUCGAAAAAAAGCGCAAGGAAUCUUCAAAAAAAUCCAAACGGAAACGUUCCAAGUCAUCUGAUAGUGUUAAGUCAAGGUCCAAAUCUGUAGAAAAAAGAGGGAGUAAGUUAUUCUCAGUAAAGUGUAGUAGCAAGGCUGUGGAAUCUUCUGAAUGUCAGGAUUCAAGCCAGUGUCUUGAAGAAGGAGAAAUUCUUGAACAGUCUUCUGCAAGUGAAGACAGUCCCUGCAAAUCCUCUAAUGGUCCCAUGUCAAUAGCUUUGUCUGAUGAAGGAGUAAAUGGCCCAGAGCUGCCGCCAGCGUUUAGCAGGUUUUCCAAAACAACUGGUAGUCUUGACAGCAGUUCCUCAUCUGUUAAAGAAACAGCGGGUCUGCAGCCUUCUGUGGUGUCUGAAUUUGAUAGCUGCAAAAACCCAGAUGACCAGGAAUUGAGUUCCAUGUCUGUGGAAAGAUCACAGGUUUCAGAGCUUUCUGUGACAUCUGAAAAUGGAUCAGCUGAAAAAGCAGUGGCUCUGGAGUCUUCGCUACCUGAACUUAGAUACUCCACAUCCCAGUCAAGAUCUUCAUCUGUUGAAAAAAGAGGAGAUGCAGAAACUUCUUCAGUAACAGAAUUUCAGCUCUCUGCAUCCCAUGAAGAUGAGUCGAGAUCUACCUCCAUCAGAGAAAUAGAGGGUCCAGUGCCUCUUCUGACGCUUGAAAGUGGAUGCUCUGUAUCUUCAGAUGAUUACAAGACAACCUCCUUAUCCUCUGGAAGAACAGAGGUUCAGGGAUUUUCGAUGUCUGAAAGUGUACUCUCUGGCUUGUCUGAUGGUCAUGAAUUGAGACAUAUCCCAGUUGAAAAAGCAGAGCCUCAGAACUUUUUACAAGUAGCUGAAAGCGACUCUUCCAAGCCGGCUGACAUCCCUGAGUCAAGGUCACUAUCUUCUGAAGCAGUAGAGGCUCAAAAAUCUUUUCUAGCACCUGAAGUUCCAUGCUCUGCAUUCCCUGAUGCCUGUGAGUCAGCCUCCUUGCCUGUUGAAAAGGGCCAGAUGCAGGAGCCUUCUCUGGCUUCUGACAGUGGAUGCUUCAGAUCUCCUGAUGCACGUGAAUCAGGAUCCAGCUUUAAUGCACAAACAGAGGAGCCUCUGUUGGUGUCUGAAAGUGAGUCCUUCAGGUCACUUGAUGGAAAUGAACAAAGGUCUUUAUCUGUUGAAAAAGUCAAGGCUCCAGAUGUUUCCUCGCAAUCGGAAUGCAGUCGUGUUGAGAUCUCGGAUGACCUCAUUUCAGCGUCAUCAUUUGGAAAAGUGCAGGAAGUUGUAUUGACAACUGUAGGACAAAGCUGCAAGUCUUCUGGAGUUCAUGAGUCCAGAUCAUCUGUUGACAAAGAUUUAGAUGGUCCAACGCUUCCACAAGUACUUGAAAUUGAGUGCUCUGCACCUUCUGAAGUGCAUGAAUCAAGAUACCUGCCUGCUGGAAAGAUAGAGGGUGCAGGAUCUUUAUUGAUGUCUAGAAGUGGAAUUCCUGUGUGCCAUGAUGGCCAUAAAACAAAACACAAUUACUUUGAGAAAACAGAAGGUGCAGAACUGUUGCUGGCAUCUGAGCUUAGGUGUUCUGUCUUCCCUGAAGGCUAUGAAUUGACAUCCACUGCAGUUGAAAAAAUGGAGAUGCAGAGGCUGGAAAGUGGAUUCUCCAAGUCUGCUGAUGUUUGUGAAGCAUUAAGCACACCUAUGGAAAAACUACAGGCCCCAGUGACUACUUUGACAUCUGAAGGUGGGCUUUUCCUGUUACCUGAUAGUCACGAACUGAGGCCUAUCCCUGCUGAAAAAGUAGAGGUGCUAAAGUCAUCUGAACUGAAAUGUGUUGCAUCCUCAGAUGGCCACAAGUUGAGAUCUGCCUAUGAUGAAGAAACACAGGUGCAGGAGCCACCUCUGAUAGCGGAAAGCAGAUGUUCAGUUUUGUCUGACGGUGGUGAGUUGACGUCCACCUCUUUUGAAAAAGUUGAGGUAGAGGAGCCUUCUCAGUUGUCUACAGAUGAAUACGCAAUUGGGCUUGAUGGCCCAGAGUUGACAUCAACCCCUGCUGAAAAAACAGAACUGCGGGAACUUUAUCGGAUGUCUAAAGAAAGAUGCUCUGUGUCCGUUGAGAGUGAGGAGUUGCGGACACCCCUAGUUGAAAAGAUAGAAGUGCAAGAGCCUGCUCUCAUAUCUGAAAAUGAAUAUGCCGUGUCUUGGGAGGGCCAGAUGAGAUCUAGCUCUCCUGAAAAGGUAGAGAUGCGGGAUGCUUCUGUAGUACCUGCCAGUGAACAUGCUGUGUCUUCUGAAGAACACGGGUUGGUGUCUUCCCUUGCUGAAGAAACAGAGGUACAGGAGUGUUCUUUGCUAUCUGGAAAUGAAUAUGUUGUAUCACCUCACGGCCAGGAGGUGGCAGCCAGCCCUGCUGAAAAAGAGGUGCAGGAGCCUUCUCUGACGUCCGACAGUGAAUAUACCGUCUUCCCUGAAGGCCAAGGAUUACAGUUUACGCUUGCUGAAAAAACAGUGGUGCAGGGACCUUCAGUAAUAUCGGACAGUCAAUAUGUUGCAUCCCCCGAGGGGCAGGAGUUGCACUCUGCUCUUACAGAAAAACCAGAGGGGCAGGAGUGUUCUUUGCUGUCUGAAAAUGAGUAUGAUGUAUCCCCUCAACGUCGUGAUUUAAGGUCCAGUCCUGUUGAAAAAGAAGAAAUGGAGGAACCUUCCGAAACAUCUGAAAGUGAAAGUUCAAUGUCCACUGAUAGCCAAGAGCUGCAGCCUGCUGCUGUUGGAAGAGCAGAGGUGCAGGAGUUGUCUUUGUCUGAAGGUGAAUGUGCCAUGUCCCCUGAAGGUCAGGAGGUGCAUUCCAGCCCUGCUGAAAAAGUAGAGGCAAAGGAACCUUCUCUGACAUCUGAAAAUGAACAUGCUCUCUCACCUGAAGAGUAUGAAUCAAGGUUGACUCAUGCUGACAAAACAGAGGAUAUGAAUUCUUCUUUGACAUCUGAAAACGACAAUCUGUUGUCUUUUGAGGGCCAGGAUGUAAGAUUCACAGCUGUUGAGAAAGCAGAUGUGCGGGAGCUUUCUCCAACACCUGAAAAUGAACAUGCAGCAUCCCCUGAUGGCCAGGAGUUGAGAUUCUCUACUGUUGGAAAAGAAGGUGGUCUCGAACCUUCAACGCUAAAUGAUAACAUCUCCAUGUCCCCUGAUGACUUGAAAGCCAUCCCUGCUGAAAAAGUGGAUGAUGCAAUGCCAUCUUUAAUUCCCGAAAGUGCAUGUUCCAUGUCCCCUGAUGGCUAUAGUGUGAAAUCUGGUCCUGGUGAAGAAAUGGGAGAUGUAGAGCCAUCUUUGGUAGCUGAACGUAGACAUUCUACAUCCUCAUAUCAGGAAAGCCAUGACCUGAAAUCUCCCAUGGAAGAAGAAGGUCUAGAGUCCUCAUUGACUCCUGAACAUAGACGAUCUGUGUCCCCUGAGGGUCAUGACCAAAAAUCUACCAUAGAUGAAGAAAUGGAUGAUCUGGAACCCUCUUUGACAUCUGAACAUAGGCGCUCCACAUCCCCUGAUGAGCAUGAGUCAAGAUCUAGCAUUGGUGAAGAAGCAGAGUAUCUGGAGCAGCCUUUGACAACAGAACGUAGGUGCUCUGUGUCUUCUGAUGAGCAUGAAUCAAGGUCUACCACUGGGGAAGAGGUAGAGGAUGCAGAACCCUCCCUGACAGCUGAACGAAGAGACUCCACAUCCUCUGAUGAGCAUGAGUCGAGGUCUACUGCUGGUGAAGAUGCGGAAGAUGGGGAGCCCUCUUUGACAGCUGAACGUAGACACUCCACGUCCUCUGAUGACCGUGAAUCAAGGUCUACAACUGGUGAAGAAACAGAGGAUUUAGAACCUUCUUUGACAGCUGAACAUAGACGCUCUGUGUCUCCUGAUGGCCGUGAGUCAAGGUCAACCACAGGUGAAGAAGCAGAGGAGCAGGAGUGCUCUCCAACAGCUGAACGUAGACACUCCACAUCCUCAGAUGAAUGUGAGUCGAGGUCUACUGCUGGUGAAGAUGUGGAUGAUGUGGAGCCCUCCUUGACAGCUGAACGAAGAGAUUCCACAUCAUCAGAUGAUCAUGAGUCAAGAUCUACCACCGGUGAAGAAGCGGAGGAUAUAGAACCCUCUUUGACAACUGAACACAGACGUUCCACAUCCCCUGAUGGGCGUGAAUCGAGGUCUACCACUGGUGAAGAAGUGGAUGAUGUGGAGCCUUCUUUGGCAGCUGAACGAAGAGACUCCACAUCAUCAGAUGAGCAUGAGUCAAGGUCUACCACGGGGGAAGAGGGUGAGGAUGGAGAACCCUCUUUGGCAGAUGAAGAUAAACAAGAUUCCAUGCCUCUUGAGAGAUCAGAGGAACAGGACUCUUCCUUUUUACCUGAAAGUAGGCGUUCCGAGUCUUCUGAACGUGAAAAAUCUAGGUCCAGAUCUGUUGAUAAAAUGUCUGACAAAGAGUCUUCCCGGAGAUCUAUAAGCAGACACUCAAAAUCUCCUACUCGCCAAAAGAGUCGAUCCACGUCUGUUGAAAAAGUGGCAGACAAAGAAUCUUCACGGAGAUCUAGACGUAGGCGCUCCAGGUCUGCGGCUCACCAGAAGAGUAGAUCCACAUCUGUCGAAAAAACAACAGACAAAGAAUCUUCGCGGAGGUCUAGACGUAGACGCUCCAGGUCCACUGCUCGCCAAAGGAGUCAGUCAACAUCAGUGGAAAAAGUGGCAGACAAAGAAUCUUCACGAAGAUCUAGACGUAGGCGCUCCAGGUCCACUGCUCGACAAAGGAGUCGAUCCAAAUCUGUUGAAAAAACAACAGACAAAGAAUCUUCACGGAGAUCUAGAAGCAGACGCUCCAGGUCUUCUCAGCGCAGAUCCCAGAGAUACGAUACAGAAUCUCGUUCUAGACGGAAUCGCUCCAGAUCAGUAACACGGAGAAGAGCAUCAAGAUCAAAAUCUAAUCGUCGGUCUCGGUCUAGUUCAUUGUCGCGUUCAAGGCAUAGACGGAGGAGUAGGUCAAGGUCAGCAUCAAGGCGGCGGCGUUCUUUGUCAAGAGACAGGCGUAAGAGGUCGCAGAGAAACAGAUCAAGAUCUACUGAUAGAAGAAGAAGAAGAUCAGAUUCAAGAGAUCGUAGAAUAUCACUCAGACUACGGAGCAGGAGUCGAACACCUAUUCGUCAAAGGCGAUCAAGGUCAAGAGGAAGAAGACGGAGCUCUAGUAGGUCACCAAUUCGACUGCGGCGAUCAAGAUCUUCGGGGAGAAGAAGAUACAGCAGAUCACCUGAUCGUCGUAGAUCGAGGUCAUCGGAGUUUUCAAACAGGUCACCUAAACGUCUUACAGACUUGGACAAGGCCCAGCUACUUGAAAUAGCCAAAGCUAAUGCAGCCGCCAUGUGCGCUAAGUCUGGUGUUCCCUUACCACCAAGCCUGAUGCCUUUGUUAUCUCAAAAGAAAGACGACAAAGCCAACCAGAAGUCAUCAAGAGAUACGCUAAAGGAGCUCACUGAGAAAUGCAAAAAGAUCGCUCAGAGCACAGAUGAUGUGAUAGUGAACAAACCUCAUGUUUCUGAUGAAGAGGAGGAAGAGCGUCCUUUCUAUAAUCAUCCUUUUAAGCUCAGUGAACCCAAACCUAUAUUUUUCAAUUUAAGUACUCCCAGCAUAAAACCAGCACCACCUCCACAACCAAAAAAUCAAGUCAGUCUGUCAAAGGAAUUCCCUGUUUCAUCUGGGUCUCAGCAUAGGAAAAAGGAAGCAGAUAGUGUCUAUGGAGAAUGGGUUCCAGUUGAAAAAGGCAAAGAAGACAGCAAGGAUGAUGUUUUCCCCAAACCAUCCAUUGAGGGCGUGGACAUAACUACAGCUAUGAAUGAUCGAGCAAUAGCUCAGAAAAGGCUUAACGAAAACACAUUUGAUUUAGAGGCCAUGUGCAUGUUAAAUCGUGCACAGGAACAGAUUGAUGCCUGGGCUCAAUCAAACUCCAUACCUGGCCAGUUCACAGGAAGUACUGGAGCACAGAUACUGUCCUCGGAUGAGCUGACCAACAGUGGUCCCCAAGCAUGGAUUAGAAAGGGUCAAAUCCUUGUAGCUGCCUUCUUGCCACGGUCAAUGCCAGCCCUACUAUUCACAACACUGCGGCCAUCGAGGCCUAGGAUCAGUUCUUAAGAGCAGCCCCUGUAACUGGAGGAAUGGGAGCUCAGCUGAUGAGAAAAAUGGGCUGGAGAGAAGGAGAAGGGCUUGGGAAAAACAAAGAAGGCAGCGUUGAGCCAAUUAUGGUCGACUUUAAGACAGAUCGGAAAGGGCUUGUUGCUGUGGGAGAGAAGGCACAAAAGAGAUCUGGACAUUAUGUUGUGAUGAAGGAUCUUUCAGGUAAACAUCCCGUUUCUGCUUUGAUGGAGAUCUGUAACAAAAGAAGAUGGUCACCACCUGAAUUUGUGUUGGUGGAUGAUAGUGGGCCUGAUCAUCGCAAACAUUUUAUCUUUAAGGUGAGAGUCAAUGGAAAUGAAUACAGGCCUACUUUUGCCAGCCUUAACAAGAAGCAUGCUAAAGCCACAGCAGCAACUGCGGCUCUCCAAGCGAUGGGACUUGUACCAAAGGAAAGCAUGGUUAAUACCACCAUGUUUAGGAGUGCCUCACACCGCUAGAUAUUGUUUUUUAUAUUGACAUUAUUUCAGAUAAUUUUACUCUGCACAAAAAUGGUAUUUGCCCUUUCAUGUUGUAAAUACAUUGGCAAUUCCCACGUUGUAAAAACUGUACAGACACCUUCAGGUUUUUCUUUUGUACCAUCAAAAUGUAUUUAAAUCAUACUUAGUUUUUGGUAUGUUUAUAUUGUUUACAUUAGUGAUGUAAUUAUUUCUUAAAUGACUAAAUCAGACGACAGACUCUGGAGGCAUCAGUAAUCGAAACCCUUGUUUUAAAGCUUAUGCGAUUCCUCUUCAAUAUGGAAUGUUAACACUUUCAUACUGUUUUGUACGAUGCUGCAGUUUUCCCUGGUCUCGGUAAAGCUACUCGUGCACUUUGCCGGCAGCUGGUGAAGGUCACAGCUUACCCUUGGCUGGUCGAGGCUGGUGCGUGCUGCUGGACAGGGACCGGGCAGCGCCGCCGCCCCGCGGGGAAGCGCGCGGUGGUAGCCCUGUUGUACAGCGUUGGCACCGCGGCUGCUCUCCGUGUGCGGUCUGGGGUUGGACUCGGUGGUGCGCUGCAACUGGCCCCGCAGCCCGUGCUCCGGGAUGUACGUGAUUUAGGCAAAAGACAUGCUCUCGAAGGGACGGCAGGAAGCCCAGCAGUGGAUCCCGUGAGACUCGCGACGUGAAGGUGACUCUCCCUGCAUGUUUUAAGAAGGGAGAUGAUGGAGUUGUCUAUUCCAAACAAAUUAACACACUGCCUGAUGUUGAUUGUAUGAAUUUGUGGUUAAUGUGAAUUUUAAACUCUUAACAAAUCUACAACUGGAUUCAGGGGGGAGGGAAGGGAUAGAAUGACGCUUAAAUUGUUGUACCCAACUUGGUCAAUAAAAGCAGCACAAGUUCAUAAUCUUAAUCACUGGUCAGUAAGCAGUAAUUCAAGUCUCUGCCAAGUCAGCUUGUGGAAGAAAGGCACAGUGUAAGAGUACGCUUUCUGAGGAUCACCAAUAGCUGUUAGGGCUGCAGAGUCACUUCUGGUUGCUUUGGACUAUUACCAAAUUAAUUCUGUGGGCUUCAGUUUUCUGUAAUGGUACUCUGCCCUUGAGGAGACAGCCUGAUCCAGAGUUUGGGCAGUUUGACAAGGGAGAGGAUGUACAAAGCUUUUCCUUUUACGUUUCCUCCCCCCCCCCCCCAAUUUUCUUUCCCCCUUUUAAUUUAAGAAGUGUUAGUCCUUUAGCCGUGUGCACUUUGGAUUGGAAAGGGCAUUGCACACCUCUGGCUGGAUUUGUCUGAGUUAUGAUCAGGAUUUAUGGACUUUUGCAGCUUGGGUGCUUAUUUCAGAAAAGUCUUUUUGAGGUCUCUUUGUAUGACACCCCCUGAGCAGAGCCUCGUCUGGGAUAGGAACAAAACACAGUUUGUACACAGUAAGGCUGUGCUCAGGCCUAAAGCGAGUGAGCUUUGCCAUGGUAAUAGGAACACAGAGGUGAAGAAUUACUAGUACCUCCUCCACAAAGUAAGAUGACCUAUGUGUAUUCUGCCAAAUGUUAAGGAACAAGGUGUCUUUCUGUGCCCUGAAGGGACAAGGGUCUAUGUCUUACGUUAUGUACAGCAGAGAAAUGGUGUUUGGUUGUCCACUGCCCGCUUCCAAAAAAUAAAGACCCUUACUCGUCUGUCAAAGCGCUCUAGGCCUAAGUUAAUUUUCAUGGACAUAGUUGUCUCUAAUUAAAACUUUUUUUCCCUUUG